rnacentral:ncRNA from 1 species
UGAUAGAGGUGCGAACUGCAAGAGUACAUCCCAUGGCCGCAGGCAAAUCCGGCGGGAUGGAAAGGGCUGUUCGCCGAAGGGUACCAGCCGGUCUGCCUGCCGGGUGUUCCCUGGGCCGUCGGAAAAGAUCCGCCGGACUGUCACGAAAGUGGAGCGCUGUC